UUUCCGUAGGUGAACCUGCGGAAGGAUCAUUCAUAAUAAGUGCUUUAUGGCACUUUUUUAAAUCCAUAUCCACCUUGUGUGCAAUGUCAGGGUUGAUUUUUCUCACGAGAGGAUCAGCCCCAAACAUCAACUAUAUCUCAACUCUUUGUCUGAAAAAUAUUAUGAAUAAAACAAUUCAAAAUACAACUUUCAACAACGGAUCUCUUGGCUCCC
rnacentral:misc_RNA from 1 species